rnacentral:rRNA from 1 species
GACAGAGGGUGCAAACGUUUGUUCGGAAUUACUGGGCGUAAAGCGCAUGUAGGCGGCCAAGCAGGUCGGAUGUGAAAUCCCUCGGCUCAACCAAGGAAGUGCAUUCGAAACCGCAUGGCUCAAGUCCCGGAGAGGAAGGUGGAAUUCUCGGUGUAGAGGUGAAAUUCGUAGAUAUCGAGAGGAACACCGGUGGCGAAAGCGGCCUUCUGGACGAGGACUGACGCUGAGAUGCGAAAGCGUGGGGAGCAAACAGG